GGAAAAGUCUCCGAGAGAACGUCCCAGGGUCCACAGGCCCGUCCCUGCCCCUCUUGGUGUCACCCUGAUGGACACAGCCCGUCAUCCUUACCGAGGCUUCUGAUUGAAACUGCAUUUGCACCUGCGACCUGAGAAGCACAAGAAACCACGGAAGAAGGAAACAGACAUUGUGGAGAGGAAGGGGCCCGCGCCGGGAUUACCCUCCUGCCUCUCAGGCCUUGCUGCCCCACAAAGAACUGCCCCUAGGGUCUCCAAAGGUCAGGCCCUUCCACCAGAUAAGGCCGUGGCUGCCAUCUUGGCCCCACUAGAUCCCGGGGGCCCUUACCACUGGCCAGGAUGGUGGGAGCCAGAAGGCUGCAGAGGAAAAUC